UAUAACAUGAAUAAGCACCGGCUAACUCCGUGCCAGCAGCCGCGGUAACACGGGGGGUGCAAGCGUUACUCGGAAUCACUGGGCGUAAAGGGUACGUAGGCGUCCUAUUAAGUCAGAUGUGAAAUCCUAUGGCUUAACCAUAGAACUGCAUUUGAAACUAAUAGGAUAGAGUUCAGGAGGGGUAAGUGGAAUUAGUGGUGUAGGGGUAAAAUCCGUAGAUAUCACUAGGAAUACCAAAAGCGAAGGCGACUUACUGGAAUGAUACUGACGCUGAGGUACGAAAGCGUGGGGAGCGAACGGGAUUAGAUACCCCGGUAGUCCACGCCCUAAACGAUGAAUGCUAGUCGUUGUGAUGCCAGACAUUGCAGUGAUGCAGUUAACACAUUAAGCAUUCCGCCUGGGGAGUACGGUCGCAAGAUUAAAACUCAAAGAAAUAGACGGGGACCCGCACAAGCGGUGGAGCAUGUGGUUUAAUUCGAAGAUACGCGAAGAACCUUACCUGGCCUUGACAUUGAUAGAAUCUGAUAGAGAUAUCGGAGUGCCUUCGGGAGCUUGAAAACAGGUGCUGCACGGCUGUCGUCAGCUCGUGUCGUGAGAUGUUGGGUUAAGUCCCGUAACGAGCGCAACCCUUAUCAUUAGUUACUAACAGUUAGGCUGAGAACUCUAAUGAGACUGCCCUCGUAA
rnacentral:rRNA from 1 species